rnacentral:rRNA from 1 species
CCUACGGGAGGCAGCAGUGAGGAAUAUUGGUCAAUGGCCGCAGGGCUGAACCAGCCAAGUCGCGUGAGGGAUGACGGUCCUAUGGAUUGUAAACCUCUUUUGUCAGGGAGCAAAGGGCGCCACGUGUGGCGCUUUGCGAGUACCUGAAGAAAAAGCAUCGGCUAACUCCGUGCCAGCAGCCGCGGUAAUACGGAGGCUGCGAGCGUUAUCCGGAUUUAUUGGGUUUAAAGGGUGCGCAGGCGGAAUGUCAAGUCAGCGGUAAAAUUUCGGGGCUCAACCCCGUCGUGCCGUUGAAACUGGCGUUCUUGAGUGAGCGAGAAGUAUGCGGAAUGCGUGGUGUAGCGGUGAAAUGCAUAGAUAUCACGCAGAACUCCGAUUGCGAAGGCAGCAUACCGGCGCUCAACUGACGCUCAUGCACGAAAGCGUGGGUAUCGAACAGGAUUAGAUACCCCAGUAGUC